rnacentral:rRNA from 1 species
ACGGGUGAGUAACGCGUGGUCAACCGACCGUUGAGUGGGGGAUAACUAGCCGAAAGGCUAGCUAAUACCGCAUACGUCUCCGGGGGGCAUCCCUUGGCGAUAAAAGGAGCAAUCCGCUCGAUGACGGGACCGCGUCCCAUUAGCUAGAUGGUGGGGUAACGGCCUACCAUGGCACCGAUGGGUAGCUGGUUUGAGAGAGCGACCAGCCACACUGGGACUGAGACACGGCCCAG